rnacentral:rRNA from 1 species
GAUGAACGCUGGCGGCGUGCCUAAUACAUGCAAGUCGAGCGAACAGACGAGGAGCUUGCUCCUCUGACGUUAGCGGCGGACGGGUGAGUAACACGUGGAUAACCUACCUAUAAGACUGGGAUAACUUCGGGAAACCGGAGCUAAUACCGGAUAAUAUAUUGAACCGCAUGGUUCAAUAGUGAAAGACGGUUUUGCUGUCACUUAUAGAUGGAUCCGCGCCGCAUUAGCUAGUUGGUAAGGUAACGGCUUACCAAGGCGACGAUGCGUAGCCGACCUGAGAGGGUGAUCGGCCACACUGGAACUGAGACACGGUCCAGACUCCUACGGGAGGCAGCAGGAGGGAAUCUUCCGCAAUGGGCGAAAGCCUGACGGAGCAACGCCGCGUGAGUGAUGAAGGUCUUCGGAUCGUAAAACGCUGUUAUUAGGGAAGAACAAAUGUGUAAGUAACGAUGCACGUCUUGACGUACCUAAUCAGAAAGCCACGGCUAACUACGUG